rnacentral:rRNA from 1 species
UCUCACUAUUCAAAACGACUCUCGGCAACGGAUAUCUCGGCUCUCGCAUCGAUGAAGAACGUAGCGAAAUGCGAUACUUGGUGUGAAUUGCAGAAUCCCGUGAACCAUCGAGUCUUUGAACGCAAGUUGCGCCCCAAGCCGUUAGGCCGAGGGCACGCCUGCCUGGGUGUCACGCA